GUGGUCAAGCUACUAAGAGCAUGUGGGGGAUGUCUCGGCACCAGAAGGCGAUGAUAGGCGUGGAAGACUGCGAUAAGUCCGGAGGAGUUGUCAAACAAACGUUGAUCCCGGAAUUCCUGAGCGAACCCAGGGAACUGAAACAUCUAAGUACCUGGAGGAAGAGAAAGAAACCUCGACUCCCUAAGUAGCGGCGAGCGAAAAGGGACCAGCCCAAACCGUCGGUUUCGAUCGGCGGGGUUGUGGGGCGGACAACAUGUAUCAGGCAGGCUAGAGGAAGCCGUUGGAAAGCGGCGCAACACAGGGUGACAGCCCCGUACUCGAAAGCUUCGCUUGAGCUAGUCCUGUCCCCGAGUAGGUCCAGUCACGUGGAACCUGGACUGAAUCCGGGAGGCCCAUCUCCCAAGGCUAAGUACUCACUGGUGACCGAUAGUUAACAAGUAGCGCGAGCGAAAGAUGGGAAGAACCCCUGCUAGGGGAGGAUACUGAACCUGAAACCACAUGCUUACAAGCUGUCGGAGCCCCUUAUGUGGGUGACGGCGUGCCUAUUGAAUAAUGAGCCAGCGAGUUGCUGUCGUCGGUUGGUUAAGGCCUUCAGGGCCGGAGCCUCAGGGAAACCGAGUCUGAAUAGGGCGUAUUAUCGAUGGCGGCAGACGCGAAUCCACGUGAACUACGCAUGGGCAGGUUGA
rnacentral:rRNA from 1 species